GCCUCGGUGGUGUGAUGGUGAAACACUCUUCCUCGGAUAGGAUGAAACACGGGUUCGAUUCCUGGCCGAUGCC